rnacentral:miRNA from 1 species
AGAGGUAGAGUGUUGUAGAGAU